rnacentral:rRNA from 1 species
UCCAAGCGUUAUCCGGAUUUAUUGGGUUUAAAGGGUGCGUAGGCGGCCUAUUAAGUCAGGGGUGAAAGACGGUAGCUUAACUAUCGCAGUGCCUUUGAUACUGAUGGGCUUGAAUGUACUUGAGGUAGGCGGAAUGUGACAAGUAGCGGUGAAAUGCAUAGAUAUGUCACAGAACACCAAUUGCGAAGGCAGCUUACUAAAGUAUGAUUGACGCUGAGGCACGAAAGCGUGGGGAUCAAACAGG